GGGUUGUGAGGUUAAGCGACUAAGCGUACACGGUGGAUGCCCUGGCAGUCAGAGGCGAUGAAGGGCGUGCUAAUCUGCGAUAAGCGCCGGUAAGGUGAUAUGAACCGUUAUAACCGGCGAUACCCGAAUGGGGAAACCCAGUGUGACUCGUCACACUAUCAUUAACUGAAUCCAUAGGUUAAUGAGGCGAACCGGGGGAACUGAAACAUCUAAGUACCCCGAGGAAAAGAAAUCAACCGAGAUUCCCCCAGUAGCGGCGAGCGAACGGGGAGGAGCCCAGAGCCUGAAUCAGCAUGUGUGUUAGUGGAAGCGUCUGGAAAGGCGCGCGAUACAGGGUGACAGCCCCGUACACAAAAGCGCAUGUGCUGUGAGCUCAAUGAGUAGGGCGGGACACGUGGUAUCCUGUCUGAAUAUGGGGGGACCAUCCUCCAAGGCUAAAUACUCCUGACUGACCGAUAGUGAACCAGUACCGUGAGGGAAAGGCGAAAAGAACCCCGGCGAGGGGAGUGAAAAAGAACCUGAAACCGUGUACGUACAAGCAGUGGGAGCCCCACCACUAAGCCAGUGGUGAACUCCACAUACGCAUCCUUUGCUGAGGAUACGGUUAAGGGAGCGAAAGCGACGUUCAACCGCAAAAGAAGCAGAGGGGGCUUAGUGGUGGGGUGACUGCGUACCUUUUGUAUAAUGGGUCAGCGACUUAUAUUCUGUAGCAAGGUUAACCGUAUAGGGGAGCCGUAGGGAAACCGAGUCUUAACCGGGCGUUAAGUUGCAGGGUAUAGACCCGAAACCCGGUGAUCUAGCCAUGGGCAGGUUGAAGGUUGGGUAACACUAACUGGAGGACCGAACCGACUAAUGUUGAAAAAUUAGCGGAUGACCUGUGGCUGGGGGUGAAAGGCCAAUCAAACCGGGAGAUAGCUGGUUCUCCCCGAAAGCUAUUUAGGUAGCGCCUCGUGAACUCAUCUCCGGGGGUAGAGCACUGUUUCGGCUAGGG
rnacentral:rRNA from 2 species